rnacentral:lncRNA from 1 species
ACUCUGAAAAGUUUAGUUACACUAUUUUUACUUGAAUUUUUUUUUUCACUUUUUUUAUUUUAUUUAUAAUUCUUUAUGUCCAAACGCCCACUAGGUUUCCUCCAUUUUGUUUGCAUAAUAAACUUUCGGAUUUUACAUUGCUUCUCAGAGAUCUCUUCAUCUUCCUCAAAUUGCUUCUAUCUACGGGUAUGUUUUUAAUUAAUUUUGCACCUGUGUUUUGCUUUGCAUCUGAUAAAUUAUCAGUUACCAAAGCUAAACAGUGCACUCCUGCACUUUAUUGUACUCCAAAUUCGGCAGAAUUCAUACUUUCUUUUGAUUUCAAAUUUGAUCCAUUCUACAGAGGCAAAAUCCAUCAUUAUUUGCCAAUAGAACAAAAUUCCCAGUUUCUGCCGUCCCAUUCCAACGUCGACUUCAAAAGAGCUAUUUUGCCCAUUUUUUGGUUAUUUGUUUUCGUUCCUUCUAACCAAAUGGCUAAGUUCUUUCAAGGAAUUCAGAAGUGGGUUGGGGAAUUCUUCUUAAAUAGUAUUCAUGUACUUGAUUCAGUGCAUUAUCUGGACUGAAUCCUUGAUCCAAAUGGCUCAGUUCUGGAAUUUACUCUUUCAAUUAAUUUCAGCCCACAUGCAAAAUUUUGGGUCGAGAUCAAUUCUUGAUCUCAAUCCGCUGAUGAUACUGAUGUGGGUAAAUUCUGAAGUUCAGUGGCUGUUGUAGGUUCCUUCCCCCCCCCUCCCCCCCCCCCCCGUUCUUCUUUGAUGUUCCUCACAUAUUUUUUCCCUUCUUUUAAUUUUUGCCAUAUCUUCUUUUAGGUUCUGUUCAUAAAUUUUAAUUUUACAGCUCGAUGGUUGGUGUGUGCUAAAUCGAGCGAUAAAAAUUAUGUUUGAUCUUGUAACGUGCUGAAUUUUGGAUUAGGGUUUUCUCAAUUCUUCACAUACUUCUUGACUUUUCAAUCAGAUACUUCUUGACUUUGCAAUUUUCUGGCUGGUAUAUACGCUAAAUUGUAUAGGUCUUAAUUUAAGGUUUUUAUUUCUGAAAUUAUUUGGGCGGCGCUAUCUUUCCCUAACUGGUAGGGACAAUAUGAUCAAACUGACUGUUGUUUAAUCAUCACAUGCAUGACUGCUUCUAACUCUUAGGUUGUUCUAAUUUUUCAUCUUUCUCCUCUGUUUUGGUUGGAGUUAUCUACUACUAAUACUAUUUCCUCCCGAUUUUUUUUCUUUGUUAUUGCAGUUCUUGCGAUCCAUUUUGAUUGUCGUGUAUUGUGUUAUUCAAUAGCGCCGGAAGGUAAAUUUUUUGACCUCUAACCAUUUAUGUAUAGGUAUUGUAAGUUUUUGCAUCGGUGCUUUACUUAGUAUAAACAUGCAUGCAUAUCAGCCAAUGUUGAACAUACAUUCAGUAAUGUCAAUAUGCACUUGACUUUCACAUUCAGGGAGUAGACGACCGAAAGGUCAAAAUCAUAAAAAUGAAAACUUCGAAAAAAUACAUGCUGACAAGAAGGCUAGGCGCCACGAAUUAUAUAGAAUGAUGCAAGCUGAUAAAAAAGAGGCUCUCCUAGCACGAGCGCGAGCAAAUGUGCCACUAACCUUGCUAUUUCAUCAGAUUAUUACAACCUCUCAAUUAAUAAAAUCAGUGUUUAAUUCUUUGUAGAUGAAUGGUUAUGGAGGAUCCAUCAAUACCUUCAUACUGAAACUUGUGAUUGGAUAAUAUACUUAUUCAGCAGACGGCCAUCUCACAUGAUCUAAUAAGGUAAUUAUGCUUUGAGUUCUUUGUUAAUCACUCUCUUGAAUUUGUAUAUUGUUUCAAAGAUAAAAUUUAGUUGAUUUCAAGGCGACGAUAUCUUAAUCCACUAAUUUAUAGUUACCUACCUCAUGAUGCCUCUAAAUUGUUUCUCAAAGCUUCCUAUUAGUGUGAGUCUUAUUGUUGGAUGUGACAGCUUGGUUUUGCUUCUCUUAAUAAUGUACAACAGUUUACGUAAGAUACCCUGCUUGAUCCUUUAUGUCUAAUCCAUGUUAAUCAUACAAUUUACUAUAGAAUUCAAUCGAGUUACAUGUGUUAAAAACACUGGUACUUUAUACCUCUUCUUUCUUUUAUUUUUUUCAGAUUUUUUUUUUCAAUUGCUUUGCUUUCGUUCUAUUUCCUUUUUUAAAAAUUUAUGCAUCCAAUGUGUUUGUGUGAUUCAUUUUUUUGUGAGUUCAGGAAACACGACAUAGCCAGCGUUAUUUAGAUUUGAUGUUGAACUUACAUGUUCUACAGAUAUUUAAGACCGUGCUAAGAUCUUAACUUGUAUUCGGAGCGUUAUUUGGAUUUGAUGUUGUCUAUAUCUUACUUAAUGAACAAGACUGCCUACCCUUAGAACCAACUAAAAUCUUCUAUAAUCGUAAUCUUGAAUGAAAUCGGUUGUUUCUAUGAACUUAAAGCUUUGCAUUUAGGCAUUUAUUACACUAUUUAACUUAGCGUAUGAUUUUAGAAAUGCUCUUAAAAGCAAUCAUGCAAGAUCGCUAAGAAGCGACUAGAAGGUGCAUGUAAGAAAUUUCUCCUCUGGUCACUUAUUCUCUUGAUGAGAUUUUCCUACAGUUUCUGUUUUUCCUAAUCACCCUCCAAAGUUUUCUAAAGUUAUAAUAGAUAUUUCAAAUGGCCAUGCUUAGCUCGAUUAGAAUCUAACUAUUGGAAUCUGCAUGUAGUAGCGUAAACGAACACAAGAACGCACUAUUAGUAACACUAUAUUAUAAAUCCUGCGUUGUUUCCCACAUACCUUAACUGGCAACCGAUGAUCUCUUCCUGUAUUAACCUCUUAUAUACAUAAACUCAUUUGCGGAGAUAUAGACUUGGUACAAAAAAUUGAGAGCUUCUACGAUGUAUAAUGUACACAAAUAGCUCUCUUAAAUGGUAUGUGCACAUGAAAGCUCCAUGAGUUGUGCUGCAAAACUUUUGCAUGAAAUAUUAUAUACCUUAAUUAGGAUUGAGUUUUAAUUGCCGAGUACCAAUUAUGGAAAGAUUAUUUAAUUAUUGUAACGAUUCGGCCGGUUGUUUUGAGUAUUUAGCCCUGAUCCCCUAUUUAUUGUCUCCUCUAUAUUGUAUUAUGGUUAUGUGACUUGCCGAGGUAUUUGAUUUUGGUUUAGGGUGCAGUUUUAGAGUGAAAUGGGGCACAUAGUCCCUAAGUUGGAGGCUUAAGUUGAAAGAGUUGAUCGUAGUUUGACUUUUGUGUAGACGACUCUGAAAUGGAGUUUUGACGGUUCCAAUAGCUCCGUAUGGUGAUUUUGGACUUAGGAGCGUAUCUGGAUGUUGAUUUGGAUGUCCGUAGAUCGUUCGACUUGAAUUGGCGAAAGUUAGAAAAUUAAAGGUUUGGAAGGUUGAGAAGUUUGACCGGAGUUGACUUUAGUUGAUAUCGGGGUCGGAUUCUGAUUCCGAAAGUUGGAAUAGGUCCGUUAUGUCAUUUAUGACUUGUGUGCAAAAUUUGAGGUCGAUCGAAGUUGUUUUGGUGUGAAUUGACAUUAGUUUUGGAAUUUAGAUGUCCAUAGUUGUCACGACCCAAAAACCCACCACAUGCGUCGUGAUAACACAUAGUCUCUAAGACAAGGUAAGCCGAUUACUAACAACGAUUAAGCCAGUUUUAACAAUGAUAAUUUAAAAUAUAUCUUAAAAUAAAUACCGAAAUAAAAGAGGAACAAGCCUACGCGACAAUGAUCAUAACAACCUCCCAAGAUUUGGUAAUACAGAUUCAAGAACUCUAGAUGAAUAUAUGGAAUGAUCUCAAGGAUGGAAAUAAAAUACUGUUCAAAUAACAACCGACAGUACAAUAUAAGGAAAUUACUCCAAUGGACUGCGACGACCAAACAACUCUACCUUGAAUCCUCGCGAUCAAUAAGCUGACUCCGCCCGAGUCCAAUAUCUCCAACACUUGGCCCUGCACAAAAAUGUGCAAAAGUGUAGUAUGAGUACACCACGGUCGGUACCACAUAAGUAUCAAGACUAACCUUGGUGGACUAGUGACGAGGUACAAUCAAGACACUCACUAGACAAAGUAAUCUCUGUAGUAUAGAAAUAUAAAGCUAAUACUGGAAAGCAAAAAUCGGUAAAUGGCAACAAAAUCAACAUGUGAUAUAAAUAGUAAAGCAAUGAGAACACCGUAAAAUUACCAUUGAAACCAAAUAGGGAACACAAAGGACAAAUAAUUAAUCAAGUCGUUCUAACACAAGAUUCACAAUGAAAUCACUUCGUGAUACCUCAUUUCAUAGUCACAAGUCACGGGUUUCAACCCGCCAUCAUAUACUCGCGGCACCUCGUGCCGCAUCUCGAAUCACAAACGCACGGACAACUCUCGUGCCAAUAUCUCAAUCCGCCUGGCAUGAUCACAGGCUCACAAUCACAAUCCGCCCGGCGUGGUCACAUGCUCAUAAUCACAAUCUGCCCGGCAUGGUCACAAGCUCACAAUCACAAUCCACCCGUCAUGGUCACAGGCUCACAAUCACAAUCCGUCCGGCAUGGUCACAUGCUCACAAUCACAAUCCGCCUAGUAUGGUCACAUGCUCAAUAAUAACAUAAAGACGGAUAAUACAAAAACACAUGGGCAUGAUCAAUAAAUGUCAAGUUUCAUACUUCUCAGCUAGUAUAAGUGGUAUACUACGGUGUAUGCUUGUGCGAAUGUACUACUGCAGCCCCAACCAACAAGUAAUAUCAAGGACAUCGAGUAUCUCAUCGAAGCAACAAAACAAGUCUCGUAAGGUGUAUGACAGACACAAGGAAAAAUACACCAUCACACGAAAAUCACCAACACAAUGUCCCCAAGCCAUCACACAUCAUCCCUGAUAUUGCCACCCUUAUCUCUCCGAUUGGCAUCCGUAUCACUCCGCCUUGACAAUAUCGUUAGCUACCCUUAUCUCUUCGAUAGCCACCCGUAUCACUUCGUAUAAUAGCCACCGGUGUCACUCCGCCCUGACAAUAACACAAUAGCCACCCUCAUCACUCCGUACAUUCAACAACAGUGAGUUGCCACCCUUAUGCUCCGCAUAACAACAACGAUAAAAUGCCACCCUUAUACUCCGCAUAACAACAACCAAAUCACACAACAAUUCACAAAUGCUAACAUCACAACAACACGAUGUAUCAACUCAUAACACAAGUGCCCAUAUGCCACAACCUUUCCAACGAUCCAACAAUAUCAAUAUUUUCACCACAAAUAUCCCACGGCUCAAACAUAAUGUGUAUAAAAUCUCAAUAACAACAAAAUGAGCGAAAAAGUAACUCACAAAGAACAACACCCCCUUUAAACACAACUUCAAUUUAAAAUAGAUUUAAGACUUUCGAUAACCUCAAUUCCAUUUAAUUGUUUAAGGAUAAACUCAAUAGUGAAAGUAUCUCCAUGAAAUGGCAAUUCUGGGUUCUAGUGUAUGAAUUAGGCUAACAAUGAAAGAGAGAUGGCACGAACUAGUAUUACGUCUAAAUGCAUGCGAAUGACCCGGCAACAAAAGGAUAUCGUGUACAACAAUUUCAACUAAGAGUAACGUAACAAUAAAAGAGAUCACAUAAUGAUAAAAGUGGUAACAACUUCAAAUAACAAAAAAAAACACCUAGUAUGAUCCCAACAGGUGGGGUCUGGGGAGGGUAGUCUGUACGCAGACCUUACCCCUACCUAAUGCAGGUAGAGAGGCUGUUUCCAAUAGACCCUCGGCUCAGGAAGGGCAAGAAGAAGAAGAUGAAAGCAAGGAAGGAAGAAAGAAGGAAGAGAAAAGAAAAAGGGAGAGAUAAAAGAUAAGUGGUACCAAAUAAUAGCAAUAGGGAAUACAAUAUCUGAGGCGAACAAAAUCACAUAACGUAAUAAAAAUCUAAGAAUAUGAAUGGACAUGUAUGCUACUAAAACUAUCGAUGAACUACUAAAAACUACCCACUAGUCUUCUACCUUAAUCCUCGACCUCCACACCCUUCUAUCAAGGGUCAUGUCCUUAGUGAGCUGAAGCAGCACCAUGUCCUGUCUAAUCUUCUCUUUCCAGUACUUCUUAGGCCUACCUCGGCCUCUUCUCAAACUCUUAAUGGCCAACCUCUCACACUUCCUAACAGGAGCAUCAAUGCUUCUUCUCUUAACAUGUCCGAACCAUCUCAGCCUCGACUCCCGCAUCUUGUCCUCCACGGAGGCUACUCCCACUCUGUCUCGGAUAGCUUCAUUCUUAAUCCUAUCUCUCCUGGUACACCCACACAUCCAUCUCAACAUCCUCAUCUCUACUACUUUUAUCUUCUGCACGUGGGAGUUCUUGACUGGCCAACACUCAGCCCCAUACAAUAGAGCCGGUCAAACCACCACUCGAUAAAACUUACCUUAAGUUUUGGCGGCACAUUCUUAUCACAUAAAACACUGGAAGCGAGCCUCCACUUCAUCCAUCCCGCUCCGAUGCGAUGUGCGACAUCUUCGUCAAUCUCUCCCGUUACCCUGGAUAAUAGACCCGAGAUACUUAAAACUCGCUCUCUUGGGGAUAACUUGAGCAUCAAGCUUAACCUCUACGUCUGCAUCAUGGGUCCCGUCACUGAAUUUGCACUUCAAGUAUUCUGUCUUGGUUCUACUCAGUUUGAAACCUUUAGACUCCAAGGCUUGUCUCCAAACCUCCAACCUCACGUUAACUCCACUUCGCGUCUCGUCAAUCAACACUAUAUCAUCGGCAAAUAGCAUGCACCAAGGCACCUCCCAUUGGAUGUGUCGCGACAGUACAUCCAUCGCCAAGGCAAAUAAAAAAGGGCUAAGAGCCGAUCCUUGGUGCAACCCCAUCACUACAGGAAAAUGCUUUGAGUCACCACCCACAGUCCUCACUCGAGUCUUAACAUCAUCAUACAUAUCCUUAAUCACCCUAAUGUACGCUACCGGAACGCCGCUAACCUCCAAACACCUCCACAGUACCUCCAUCGGGACUUUAUCAUACGCUUUCUCAAGGUCAAUAAACACCAUAUGCAAAUCUUUCUUCCUCUCCCUGUACUGCUCCACUAAUAUCCUUACCAGAUGAAUCCCUUCCGUAGUCGAACGCCCUGGCAUGAAUCCAAACUGAUUCUCAGAAAUAGACACGCACCUCCUCACCCUGGCCUCAACCACCAUCUCCCAAACCUUCAUAGUGUGACUCAACAACUUGAUACCCCUAUAAUUGUUGCAAUUUUGGAUAUCACCCUUGUUCUUGUAAAGCGGAACCAUCGUAUUCCACCUCCAUUCUUCGGGCAUCUUUUUCGUCUUAAAAAUAACAUUAAACAGCCCAGUGAGCCACUUCGAACCUGCCCGCCUCGCGCUCUUCCAUAAUUCCACCGGAAUUUCGUCUAGCCCCGUCUCUCUGCCCCUGCACAUCUUACGCAUCGCCCCUUCCACCUCCUCUACCGUAAUCCGCCUACGGUACCCAAAAAUCCCGCCGACUCUCAGAGUGCUCCAACUCACCCAGCACAAUGCUUCUAUCCCUAUCCUCGUUCAACAAUUUAUGGAAGUAUGUCUACCAUCUUCUCCUAAUAAGUGCCUCGUCCAUCAACAUUUUUGCCAUCCUCGUCCUUGAUGCAUUUGACUUGGUCUAAGUCGCGGGUUUUCCUCUCCCUUACCUUGGCCAACCGGUACAACUUCUUGUCCCCGCCUCUGCCCCCGAGCUUAUCAAACAAACGAGCAAACACCGCGUUCUUAGCCGUUGUAACUGCUAACUUCGCCUCUUUCUUUGCCUUUCUGUAACACUCCUGAUAAGUCUUUUUUCCUCCUCGUUUGUACUCUCCACUAGCUUCAAAUAAGCAGCUUUCUUAGCUUCCACUUUACCUUGAACCUCUCCAUUCCAACACCAGUCCCCUUUAUGACCCCCAGGAGAGCCCUUCGUAACCCCUAAGACCUCUCUAGCAGCUACCCUAAUGCAAUUCGCAGUCGUGAACCACAUACUAGAUGCGUCCCCCUACUCGUCCAGGCCCUCAUAGCCAACAACUUAUCCCCUAACUCCUGAGCUUUUUCCUUGGUCAAGUUACCCCACUUGAUCUUAGGUUGCCUGUACCCCACCCUCUUCCUCCUACUCAUCUUGAUCUCUAGGUCCAUAACUAAGAGCCUAUGUAGCGUCGUGAGGUGCUCACUUGGGAUGACCUUGCAGUCAGUGCACAUACCUUUAUCGCAUUUCCUGCAGAGAAGAUAAUCAAUCUGAGUCUUGCCCAUUGAAUUCCGGAAAGUGACCAGGUGCUCUUCCCUCUUCGGAAAACUCGAGUUAGCUAUAACCAAAUCAAAAGCUCUAGCAAAAUCCAGCAGUGAAUUACCUCCCUCAUUCCUAUCUCCAAAACUGAACCCGCCAUGCACAUCAUCAUAACCCCUAGCACUAGUUCCAAUAUGGCCAUUGAAAUCUCCGCCAAUGAACAACUUCUCUGUGUGCGGGAUACUACGCACCAUCUCGUCCAAAUCCUCCCACAAUUGCUUCUUGACCUCUUGGUCCAAACCUACCUGAGGAGCGUAUGCACUAAUCACGUUUACAGUAAACCUACAAACUACCAGCUUAAUACUCAUCAACCUAUCAUUUACCCUCCUAACCUCGACCACGAGCUCCCUGAGGUCCUUGUCUACUAAAAUACCUACCCCAUUCUUACCCCUAGCGCUUCCUGAGUACCAUAGUUUAAACCCGUCUACAUCUCGUGCCCUAGUACCCUUCCAUCUAGUCUCUUGAACACACGCUAUGUUGAUCUUCCUCUUCUGAAGAAUCUUACCUAACUCUAUAGACUUCCCUGUCAACGUCCCAAUGUUCCAAGACCCAACUCUCAGCCUAAAGGCUUUCUUACCCUUUUCCCACCCCUGGACCCCUCCCCCAGCCCCACCCGAGGACAUGACCUUACUCUUACAUCGUUCACUACCGCCACUAUAAACCAAAGGUAUUGGGUAAACACUACCACUAAGAACAAGUAGCGGGGACGAAUGACUACAAGCUACGAACCCGAGAGCUAAAAACAACUCAAAGGAGCUACUACGCGAACAGUAACGCGAGCAGGCACUAGAACAAUGAAUCUACCACGUCUAAGAAACUACCCCUAUGCAAACACAGAAUUAAAAUGGAUAGAUGAAACCUUAAGCUUAAAAUACUAGUAGAAAAGAUAGAAAAAGCAAGCAAUCCAAUUAAAAUUGCUGGCAAGGCAACAGUAAAUAGAUGUGCGCAAAUACAAUUCAAGAAAGGUGGAACCUGGAUCACAGUCGGGGAUGUCCGGACGCGCUUCCAAAUCUGCUGAAUGCUGCUGCCUCCCAAACCCGUGUGUAGGAAAGUUUCGAGGAUUUGCCAAUUUCACCGUAAAGGUAUCUCACAGCGGCAGUCGAAAAAUUUCAAUUCGAUAAUCAGAAUGAAAUGGGACACAUAAUCCUCUAUGUUGUAUUAUGGUUAUGUGACUUGUCGGGAUGUUUGGUUUUGGGUUCAGUGAGUUUCAGAAUGAAAUGGGACAUAUAAUCCCUAAGUUAGAGGCUUAAGUUGAAAGAGUUGACCGUAGUUUGAUUUUUGUAUAGACGACUCCGGAAUGGAGUUUUGACGGUUUCAAUAGCUCCGUAUGGUAAUUUUGGAUUUAGGAGUGUGUCCGGAUGUUGAUUUGGAGGUCCGUAUGUCGUUUUACUUGAAUUGGCGAAAGUUAGAAAAUUGAAGGUUUGGAAGGUUGUGAAAUUUGAUCGGGAGUUGAAUUUAGUUAUAUCGGGAUCAGAUUCCAAUUUCGGAAGUUCGCAUAGGUUCGUCAUGUAAUUUAUAACCUGUGUGAAAAAUUUGAGGUCGAUCGGAGUUGUUUUGGUAUGAAUCGACAUUAGUUUUGGAAUUCGGAUGUUCAUAGUUUCCAUAGGCUUGAAUUGGGUUGUGAUUCGUUGAAUCAAUGUUGUUUGAUGUGAUUUUUGGCCUCGAGUGGGUCCGUUAUGUAUUUUGGAACUUAUUGGUAUAUUCGGACGGGGUCCCGUGGGCUCCGGGUGUGAUUCAGAUUGAAUCCGAAACAAAUUUGGACUUGUGUGAUUGCUGAAGCUUGGCUGUGUCUGGUGCAAUCACACUUGUUCACUUUGGGCCGCAGGUGCGACCCUCGAGCUGCAGAACUUAAUUUGGUCUUGCCCAGCUGGGACCGCAGGUGCGGUCAAUGGCGAGCAGAAGCGAAUGCGCAGAUGCGACCGACCUUCCGCAGAUGCGGUUGCGCAAAUGCACUUAUGGGUUCUGCAGGUGCGAUCCUUCAGAGCCUAAGUUGGAACCGCACCUGCGAUGGAAAUUCCGCAGGUGCGGUGUGCGACCCCAUGCCCGCAGAAGUGACAUCACUGGGCAGAAAUAAGGGUCUUCUAGGGUUUGAUCUCAUUUUUAUUUUUGGACGCAGAGAGCUCGAUUUGCGGUGAUGUUUCGAAAGUUUUCAAGGAAAUCAUCGGGGUAAGAGAUUCUAACUCGGUUUUGGCUAUAUUUCAUGAAUCCAUUGUUAUUUUCAUCAUUUAAUUAGUGAUUUGAGUUGAAAAUUUGGAAAAAAUUAUGAAAGCUUCUUAGACUAAAUUUUGCGGAUUUGAAAGGCGAUUUGAGUAAUUUUUGUAUGGUUGAACUCGUUAUCGAAUGAGUGUUCGAAUUUUGUAAUUUUGGUCGAAUUUUGAUACGCGGGCCCGAGAGUUGACUUUUUAUUUCACUUUAAAGAUCGUAACUUUAUUGUUCGAAAUAGUUUCCUGUAGUUUAUAUUUAUGGUAUGAAGUUGUUUUGGCUAUAUUCGAGCCAUUCAGAGUUUAAUAAUCGAGGGAAAGGCUUACUAGUGGAUUGAGUUAACGUGUUUUGAGGUAAGUGUCUUACCUAACUUUGCGAGAGGGGGAGGGGGGAUUACCCCUUAGGAUUGGUGUUGUUUUGUGUUAAUUGUGAUGUGUGGAAGCUGUGUACGUAAGGUGACGAGUGUGUACACGGGCUAAAUUUGGUAAUUGAUCGGUUCUAGCUAUGUAGAUUCUUUUCAUGCCUUUAAUUGAGUUACCAUAAUAUGCUAUAUUUAUCAUCUUUAGUCGAUCUUCACAUGUUUUACUUUCCUUACCUCUUACUUGGUAUUUGCCUUUACAUGCCUAGUUGAAAUUAUAAUUUCCUCUAUUCCUUAUUAAUUAUUUAACCGUUGAGCUCCUUACUUGAAAUUGUUAUUCUUGGAAUAUCUUGUUGUUGAAAUUGAUAUUGAGUUAUAAAGGUCGUGAUUCACAUCGAGGCAAAGUUGUUAAAUUGUGAAAUACUAUUCUUGUUGAGUUAUUCACUUCCAGUUGCUAUUGUUGAGACUCUUGUGCAUAUUGUGGUUGAAUCAUGGGCUAUUUAUUGUGGAAACACCAUUAUUGUUGACUUCAGGUGUAAUUUGUGAUACAUUAUGAUAUAGAUACGCAUGUGGUGGUAUAAGGAUUGGGGUUGAAACGCAUGUGGUGAGAUAAGGUGGGCUUGAUACGCGUGUUGCUAGUAGGGGAACUGCUUGAAGCCACGCAGUGUGAUAAGGUGGGCUAAAACACGGAAAGCUAUUUCGGGAAAAAUAAUUUUCAAAACUAAAUGCAAGGCUCCCGCUGUGAUAUAAGGAAAGAUUGUGAAUCGUUUUGUGAUUUGAGACUACGAGGCAAUAUCUCGGUAGUGAUUCUUGUUGAUACAUUUCUAUUACUGUACUUGUGUUUUGGUUACUUGUUUCCUUGACAUAUCAUUCCUUGUUUUCUUCCGUGAUGCAUUAUUGCCUUAGUUCAGUAUAGCUAAUCUUGGUAUAAUUCUUUAUUGUUUCAUUUCCUUUGUUAUCAUUGUUACACUGUUAUAUACCGGUUUGGUUUCUUAUUUAUUUCAGUAGGGCCUUGACCUGACCUCGUCACUACUUUACCGAGGUUGGGCUUGGUACUUACUGGGUACCGUUGUGAUGUACUCAUGCUAUGUUUUUACACAUCUUUUUUGUGCAGAUCUAGGUACCUCCUACCAGUACAUGCACUAGUGAGACGAGGUCAGCUUCAGAGACUUUAAGGUAUACCUGCCGGCAUCCGCAGGCCUCAGAGUCACCCUUUAUCUAGUCUACUUCAUUUUCUUUCCCUUUUAUAGACAUUGUUGUAUAGGGAUGAUCAGUACUUAUUCGUAGAGCUUGUGACUUGUUUAUCACCGAAUUUUGGGAAGUUUGUUAUGCUAAAUUGCGAAAUUUCUUUUAUGAUAGUUGUUGAGUAAUUGAGAGUUUUAUCAUUAUUUCAGUCAUAUUUCGCAUGUAUAUUAGGCUUACCUAGUCUUAGAG